UUCUUUUUAUUGCUAAAGAGUAUUUUAUUGUAAAUAUAUAUCACAAUUCUUUAUUCUUUCUGUCACUUAUGGGCAUUUAAUUUCUUUGAAUAAAUUUAACAAGUUGCAAAUGAAUAUUUAGCAAAUUGCACUCAGAUUAAAAUAACAAAAUAAUCUCUUAUCAGAAGCUAAGAAAUACAUUUUCCUCCUCCUCAUCCAUAUCCAAAGACGGUUCUGAAAAUGCCUUUUCUUCUCUAUUAUAGCAACACCUAGUGGCUUGAGAAGGCCAGGUCUAGAGGUAUGCAUUUACGGCUGGGAAACACUGACCUUUAGCUUUGAAGACCUCAGGUAGCACCUAGGCGUCGGCUAUAACCGCAUAACAAUGGUCCCCAUCUGAAACCAUUUAAGUCAGAAUCUUUGGAGGAAGAGGCCAGGAUUGGUAGGUUAUAAAAGUUGCCCAGAUGAUUUUAAUGUGCAGCCAAGGCUAAGAGCUACUUAUCUAGACCAGUGGUUUGCAAACUUUUGUCAAAUAAUCAGAAUCGCGUUUCAAACACAGAUUGCUGGGCUCCUUCCAGCAUGUUUGUUUAUUUACAUACAUACAGAGACACAAGUACAUACAUACAUAUAUCCUAUUACUGGCAUCUCACUUUGACUUAAAGAUGAUGAAAGCCAUUUCAGUCACUAUCUCAGGGGAUGCCACUUCCCUUACCUCCCCUGUCACGUUGGACAUACCCACAAUAGACCCAAUACAGAAGAAAACAAAAAUUCUUAGAAGUUCAUACUGACUUACCUACUGAAGCAAUGUACCAGAUUACGUGUUCUUUACAUGCCUUCCAAUUCUAAAAAUCUAUAAGAAAUCACAACUGCACACACAACAGGUGCUCUACAGUUUUGUAAAUGAUGCAGUAUGUGCCCAGGCGUGGCAGCAGAUAGACUUUCAGGCUUCAGGAGUCCAAACCUCUGUCAAUACCAGGAUUAUUAUCCACACCGUUAGUUUCUUAAUGUGAAGGAUAUCUCAAAAUUGAUGUAUAACACAUUACAGACAGCGAGAAAAUAUUUCCAAAUUAUAUCUGAUAAAGGACUUGUAUCUAGAAUAUAUAUAAAAGACUCAUAACUCAAUGGUAAGAAAACAACCCAAUUUUUAAAAUGGGCAACACAUCUGAAUAGACAUUUCACCAGUGAAGAUAUAGGAUUGGCUAAUAAACACAUGAAAAGAUG
rnacentral:lncRNA from 10 species